rnacentral:rRNA from 1 species
AGGCGAAAAGAACCCCGGCGAGGGGAGUGAAAAAGAACCUGAAACCGUGUACGUACAAGCAGUGGGAGCACAGAGCAAUCUGUGUGACUGCGUACCUUUUGUAUAAUGGGUCAGCGACUUAUAUUCUGUAGCAAGGUUAACCGAAUAGGGGAGCCGAAGGGAAACCGAGUCUUAACUGGGCGUUAAGUUGCAGGGUAUAGACCCGAAACCCGGUGAUCUAGCCAUGGGCAGGUUGAAGGUUGGGUAACACUAACUGGAGGACCGAACCGACUAAUGUUGAAAAAUUAGCGGAUGACUUGUGGCUGGGGGUGAAAGGCCAAUCAAACCGGGAGAUAGCUGGUUCUCCCCGAAAGCUAUUUAGGUAGCGCCUCGUGAAUUCAUCUCCGGGGGUAGAGCACUGUUUCGGCAAGGGGGUCAUCCCGACUUACCAACCCGAUGCAAACUGCGAAUACCGGAGAAUGUUAUCACGGGAGACACACGGCGGGUGCUAACGUCCGUCGUGAAGAGGGAAACAACCCAGACCGCCAGCUAAGGUCCCAAAGUCAUGGUUAAGUGGGAAACGAUGUGGGAAGGCCCAGACAGCCAGGAUGUUGGCUUAGAAGCAGCCAUCAUUUAAAGAAAGCGUAAUAGCUCACUGGUCGAGUCGGCCUGCGCGGAAGAUGUAACGGGGCUAAACCAUGCACCGAAGCUGCGGCAGCGACGCUGAUGCGUUGUUGGGUAGGGGAGCGUUCUGUAAGCCUGUGAAGGUGUGCUGUGAGGCAUGCUGGAGGUAUCAGAAGUGCGAAUGCUGACAUAAGUAACGAUAAAGCGGGUGAAAAGCCCGCUCGCCGGAAGACCAAGGGUUCCUGUCCAACGUUAAUCGGGGCAGGGUGAGUCGACCCCUAAGGCGAGGCCGAAAGGCGUAGUCGAUGGGAAACAGGUUAAUAUUCCUGUACUUGGUGUUACUGCGAAGGGGGGACGGAGAAGGCUAUGUUGGCCGGGCGACGGUUGUCCCGGUUUAAGCGUGUAGGCUGGUUUUCCAGGCAAAUCCGGAAAAUCAAGGCUGAGGCGUGAUGACGAGGCACUACGGUGCUGAAGCAACAAAUGCCCUGCUUCCAGGAAAAGCCUCUAAGCAUCAGGUAACAUCAAAUCGUACCCCAAACCGACACAGGUGGUCAGGUAGAGAAUACCAAGGCGCUUGAGAGAACUCGGGUGAAGGAACUAGGCAAAAUGGUGCCGUAACUUCGGGAGAAGGCACGCUGAUAUGUAGGUGAAGUCCCUUGCGGAUGGAGCUGAAAUCAGUCGAAGAUACCAGCUGGCUGCAACUGUUUAUUAAAAACACAGCACUGUGCAAACACGAAAGUGGACGUAUACGGUGUGACGCCUGCCCGGUGCCGGAAGGUUAAUUGAUGGGGUUAGCGCAAGCGAAGCUCUUGAUCGAAGCCCCGGUAAACGGCGGCCGUAACUAUAACGGUCCUAAGGUAGCGAAAUUCCUUGUCGGGUAAGUUCCGACCUGCACGAAUGGCGUAAUGAUGGCCAGGCUGUCUCCACCCGAGACUCAGUGAAAUUGAACUCGCUGUGAAGAUGCAGUGUACCCGCGGCAAGACGGAAAGACCCCGUGAACCUUUACUAUAGCUUGACACUGAACAUUGAGCCUUGAUGUGUAGGAUAGGUGGGAGGCUUUGAAGUGUGGACGCCAGUCUGCAUGGAGCCGACCUUGAAAUACCACCCUUUAAUGUUUGAUGUUCUAACGUUGACCCGUGAUCCGGGUUGCGGACAGUGUCUGGUGGGUAGUUUGACUGGGGCGGUCUCCUCCUAAAGAGUAACGGAGGAGCACGAAGGUUGGCUAAUCCUGGUCGGACAUCAGGAGGUUAGUGCAAUGGCAUAAGCCAGCUUGACUGCGAGCGUGACGGCGCGAGCAGGUGCGAAAGCAGGUCAUAGUGAUCCGGUGGUUCUGAAUGGAAGGGCCAUCGCUCAACGGAUAAAAGGUACUCCGGGGAUAACAGGCUGAUACCGCCCAAGAGUUCAUAUCGACGGCGGUGUUUGGCACCUCGAUGUCGGCUCAUCACAUCCUGGGGCUGAAGUAGGUCCCAAGGGUAUGGCUGUUCGCCAUUUAAAGUGGUACGCGAGCUGGGUUUAGAACGUCGUGAGACAGUUCGGUCCCUAUCUGCCGUGGGCGCUGGAGAA